AUGGAGAUGAAGUUUAACCAUAGCCUUUGUUUCGAUAAGAUUCGUUUGUUAGAAAUGGUUCUUGUUAAAUUAUUCGCUUGCUUGUCGCUAUUGUUGCUCGCUAAUGCCGAUAACAGCAUAGAGGACGACGGAGAAUCGGGGCGGUAUACCAUAGAGGGCCGAGUAUUUCCUUUGUCUGAUCAAGUCAGUCAAUCAAACUGGCAGGCUACCACAAGGAUACACGUAAACGGGGGCGAAUAUAUAGGAUUUGUGAAAAAGGACGGUAGUUUUGUCGUCCACAAUGUACCAUCGGGAUCCUAUGUGAUUGAAGUUCUCAACCCUGAUUUGAUGUUUGAACCGGUCAGAGUGGAAAUCAACUCAAAGGGUAAAUUUAGAGCCCGCAAGGUAAACUAUAUCCAAACCUCGCAGGUUGUUCAAGUGCCCUACCCACUGAAAAUGAAGGCCUUGGGCAAAACCAGGUAUUUCCAAGUACGUGAACAGUGGCGUAUAACUGAUUUCCUGUUCAAUCCAAUGGUGAUGAUGAUGGUGUUGCCUUUGGUGCUCAUCAUGAUUUUACCAAAAAUGAUGAAUGAUCCGGAAACUAAGAAGGAAAUGGAACAAAUCCAGAGCAUGACCAAGUUUGAGAUGCCCGAGAUGUCUGACAUGGUGUCCAAUUAUCUGGCAGGUAACAAUGCUGGUGCCAGUGCCUCUCAGACACAAAGCAACAAGAAGCAGCUGAAAACUCGGAGACGAGUUGUGGCCAGUUAAAGAUUUAGUUUUUUUUUGUCAUGUUAUUUCAAGUUCCUGGUCGGCCUGUGAAAAUUUGUUUUUUUUAUGUAGACUUUUUUAUUGUUGAAACAAGACUCCAUGAGAAGACACUGUAAGUUGCAGAAAAUUGAUAUAUCAUGAAACUCACAUGGGUACUUUUAAUGUUGCGCUAAGCAUAGUCAGAAGUAAAACUAAAAUGCCAACAUCAGCACCAACAAACGGAUAAACUUGUAUUGCCCCAUUUUGGCUUAAAUGUUCUAAAGCCCCGCUGCACUUGUAUUCCAGAAAAUGCCCUUCUCUGGUCGCAAAGAUCUAACGCACGCGAUCCCAAGCAUAUAAAAUUCGAACACAUGCGGGAUGGUUUGAAUUAUAAAGUCUAUUGAGCCCAGAGAAAUAAUCAAAGAAGUUCAAGUUAAAAUAUUGUGAAGAAAAGAAAUUCGUAAUUCAUUUGAAAAAAAAAAUAGAUUUUGCUUUAAUUCUUGGUAGGUAUUAUUACAAGGUAAAAACAAAAUAAUAGCCUAUAUAAACUGGUUUUUGCUAACUGAAUGUGUUAGUGAGACCCUCUUAAUUAUUUUUUUAUUUAAUUUAAAUAAAAAAGGGGGAACGCCAAUGACUAAAUUUAGAUAUAUCUUAAUAAAUUCUUAAAAAAUGGUGU